AGUUGGCGGUGUGCAGAUCACGAGGGUGUCUUGCGUUUUACAUUUAUUCAUCUUUCCCAGCGGUUGCGCUGCUGUCAAUACAUUCCUCUGCACGGGUGUCGCCUAAUCACGCAGAGAAUACAACUGUGAGCACAGGGAGUCCAGGUAGGUUUGGACAAGAAAGGAGUAAGCAUUCUGUAUUGAGCAGCAAAACACCGCGGGGAACUUCCGGAUCUGGCCACUUUACUACGAAAGUGGGAACGCAUUUAAGACCUAAUUUGGUUUUGUUUGCAGAAGCCGUAAGCUUAGCCAACAUUUAGUACAUUGAAUUUCAAAUGGGUCUUGUUUUCACCCGAGAUUCUGCUUGUGACGACUGCUGUUGCUUCCGAAAUCGAAGGCUAUUGCUGUAAUCAAGGUCCUCCCAUACAACCGGGGCGUUUACAAAAAAUGAUGGGGGUUGUCCGACUUAUGAUGCUCAUGAUAAGUUCGUCACAGAAACAUUAAAAACACUGUCAUAACAAAAUCAGAUUUUAGGUAUUGUCGCAAUGAACUGAUUACAUGCGGCUUAAACAUGCGGGACGAACAAGUACAAGUUCCACAGACGGACUGCGCGGAUUGGAUGUCACAUCUUCCCGACAAACUGUGGAAGGUGCCGCUAUGGAACCUUGCCAUUCCUGGAAGUCAUGAUACAAUGACCUAUCAUCUGGAUGACUGUUCGCCCGUUGUACAGUCUGAAUCCCUCUUCCUGAGAGUGCUCGACCACUGUUUCCCCUGUGUCAUGCGUCCUUGUGUGAAGAGGUGGGCCACCACCCAAGAAUGCGACAUUUCUGAUCAGCUUGAUGCGGGGAUUCGGUUCCUGGAUCUGAGGAUCGCUCAUAAGAAAGACAGUGACAUUGAUGUUUUCCAUUUUGCCCAUGGCAUCUACUCCCAGCAGACUGUGAAGGACACCGUCACAAAGGUGGUCCUGUGGCUGCAGGAGCAUCCUAAGGAGGUGGUCAUCAUUGCAUGCUCAGCAUUUGAUGGCAUGAAUCAAGAAGAACACCUGGAACUUAUUGACUUCCUAAGAAGACUGUUUGAGAAGAAACUGUGUCCCAAAACAGAAACGCCAUCACUACUUUUGUGCUGGGAUCGUGGCUAUCAGGUGAUCCUCUCAUAUGAUGACACAGCUGCAGAAACUUACACUGACCUCUGGCCGGGGAUUGCUUACUGGUGGGCCAAUACGCCUGACCCAAAAGAUCUCAUCUCAUUUCUUGAGGGGCGGAAAGAAAGUGGAAGGCCAACAGAGGCAUUUUUUGUGGCUGGAAUGAACCUCACAGAAAACUUGAGAUAUGUUAUUCAGCAUCCUUGUCAGACUAUGAGGACAAUGACUCUGCAAGUCUAUAAGUUCUUACUUGACUGGGUCAAGAAACAACAUCCGGGUCCAAGUAAAACCAGUCUUAACAUCAUCUGUGCAGAUUUUGUGGGAGACAAUGCGUUUGUUCAUAUUGUGAUUGCACUUAACAAAGACAUUCUCAGUUGAUCUGCAUUUGCCUGAAGCUGAAUUAAAUUCAGUGAACAUAUAGAUUUGCACUUUUGUUUUGAGUCUUAAAAAUGCAGUCCUCCAUUAUGUUUUGGUUUAGCAAAUGACUGUUGAUAUUUCAACUCGACAGCCAAUCAAAUUACACCCGUCCCCUCUGUGCUCCUGAAGUACGUGUGCUGAUUGGCUGGAGUUGUUUAUAGCUUGGUCCAUGCCACUAUGUUUGUUUCCCAUUUACAGAGCCAGGACCAUGUACGAACAACAGAGUUUUUUUUACCGCUAAUACUGACAGCUACAGAACCAUGAGGAGCAAUUUGUUGAAUUUUAGUUAAAGUGUAUGGGAUAAGAAUCACGGACUUCGCCUUUAAUACCAAAACCAAAUUAACUACUUGGGUAACACUGUGUGUGCAUGUGCAUGCGCCCAUAACACUUAAAAUGACAUUGCCAAAAUGACUUAAAUAUAUAUGUCUAUCGUUAUCAAUCAUCCAGAAGCAUGCUUGUAGGCUGUCGAGUAUUGUCUGAUAAAUAUGUAUAGUACGUUUUUAAAAUGUUUGCACUUUAUUGACACUCCCUACACACUUCAGCGUUAAGGUUGCGAUCUUCUUCCGAGUUCUCAAUAUUUUGGGUGGUUUUCAAAUGUAAAUUUUAACUGAAUUGGUAUUCCGGAUCAGCCUCUCAACGUGGUAUUAAAUAACCAAGCGCAAACUCCCUUUUGUGAGUUUAUGUAAGAAUUUCUUAUUUGAAAUUGCUGUGGUGCAAUGUGGUGUAACGUUACCGGUCAGUUAUAUUUUUAAUAGGAAAUAAGAGGUGGCAAGGCUACUUUGGAUAAACGCAGUGGAAUAUGGUAGUGCUGUUGCUAUCUCUUCUGCAUGCCAUCUUAAGCAUCUCUGUAUCUCCUCUCCAUGUGACUGCGUCGAGGCAAGGAUAGAAUGAAAGUGCCGUUCAAAAUAGUAUCGAGAAAACAACGCCAUCUAGUGAAUUGUAGAUGAACUUCAGAUAACAGCCGUCUUGCAGAGAAGUCGGUUGUGAAAUGUGCAGCAGUUCUGUAAAACAUUUAGUAUUCUGUUAUAAUUUCUACAUUACUGUCACAGCUGAACACAGCUAUUUUAUGGUGUUAGUUUUGGCUUUGUGUGUUACAACAUGUGAAAGGACAUCUAAGUUUAGAUGCCUCUUCUCUUUUCACUCAGUAAGGUGCUUAACGCGCUACUUAUGUGAUUAUCUUGUUCAGUGCUUCCACCCACUACUGGGUCCUGUUUGUUUUGAUGUCCAUGCACGUGGUAAAUAAACAUAGCCAGAUAUCCAAAACCAUUUUUAAUAAGUAAACUUUUAUAAGCAUCCAUCAUGGUCGUCUGGCAUUGCCAAUCAUUUAAGUAAUCCAGACUAUUGUAGGUAAACUCAGGAUUGUUUUGUAUCCAAAUAAAGCAUUUUUAUUUUCUAAAGUAUUGCAAUUCAAUGACUGCAUUUUAUUUUAUAUUCCCAAAACCAGUGAAAUUAUGAACGGCAAAACAUUCGCAAAGCACCUCAAAUGAUGCAUAACAAUGCCAUACAUUAUUAUAUGAUUCGAGGCCAAAAAUAAACUUAACAAAACAAUAGACUAAAUAAUCUCAGAUAAGAAGAGGAUAAUAACAGUACUGCAUUUGAAACAUUUGAGAGGAGAGAUUAGGAAUCAUUCCCUUUCACUGCUGGUUCGCUCUCUCUCUCUCCUCCCCUCGCCCCGGUGGCAUAACCAGAUUACCACAGAUUCACUGUUGCUGUUAGAGGCCUGUGCUGCUGACAGCUUCAGAGUGUGUCUGAAUUGGCUUAGAGCAACAGACCUACCAGAUGGUCCUAUAGGGAGCCUAGGGGUGUCUAAUUACCAAGGGCUUAAUCGGCCUUCCCCCUGACCAGAAGCUGACAGGUAACCCUGUGUCGGGUCUCCCAGUCAUAGUCCCAGGUGCUUCGAGGAGCCCCGCACUUUUUGGAACUUUCCGCAGGGGAAGUGCUUUUGGAACACACUGGAGCAGCUAGUCAUUAAGAAUGGAUAAGAAGGAGGAGGAUGAGGAUAAUAUCUUCACCACUUGGGCGCAGGGUUUCGAUCAACAGCAGGGGAGCGAGGAGCCAGAGGAAUCAGAGAGGAAGUGCAGUCUGAACAUUCCCAGGCCCAGUCGAUCCAUUGCUAACCGCCGAGCCUCACUGCCUUGUCCGUCCACAUUACAAGCCAUGCAGCUGACCCGCCUGCACAGCGCCACCAUGGCACCCAGUCCUGCCAGUCACGGAGGCAGGAAAGAUGGCGAGGCACGGAAGCACUACCGGGCACGCCAUGCAGGCAUCAACGGGGGCGACGUGUGCCCCAAAGCCAACAGCACCCCCGAGAGGGAGAGGCGGGCCCCUGCCAUUCCCACAAUUCCCGAGAUCACAGAGACCCUGGAGAAGAAGACCAGGUUCAGGAGCAGGAAUGUCAUGUCUAUGAGCGAUGCAGACAGCAUUUGUCUAAUCUGCCAUGAUGAUCUCUACAAAGGUGGGAGAGGUGUGAGAGAAUUACACUGCUCACACAGCUUUCACACUGAGUGCAUAGAGGAGUGGCUGUGGAGGAAGCAGGCCUGCCCCACCUGUCGCGUGCAUGUGGCUAUGCCCGAGCCUCUCUACUGGACCUCCACUCGUGUUAAAGUGCCCUAACUGACCAAAAUACACACACACACACACACACACACACACACACACACACACACACACACACACACACACACACACGCGCACACACGCACACACGCACACACAUACCUCACCAACAUCCAGCAAAACCCGGACCACAAGAAAGCUAAACUGCAGAAGAGACUCAUUCCUGCCAACUGUACAGCAGAAGGGACAAUAAUCAGCUGUUUUGUUUGUUUAUUUUUUUUACACAAAAUAGGCAUAUUAUUCAUCAUGAUUGUGGUUUGUGGACUUGCCAUAACAACAAUAUGAAUUUGUGUCCGGACUUAAAGACAUUUUCUAUUUUGUACAGUCACUGGAGAGAGAAAUAAUCCAGUGUACAUAAAUGUAAAUAUGGUUGUAUGUAGAUUUCCUAAUAUUAUGUCUUUUUAAAAGUUAUGUUGACAGAAGGAUGACAUCAGGUAGACAGUGUGUAGAGGUCACAUUCUAUUGCAUAAUUCCCCCUAAUAAUAUGUGUCAAUUGGAAAACUUGUUUUGAUGGGAAUAUGAGGAUAUUGUGGGCUAUAUGUAGUUGUUUUGAGGAGUUACAUCACUCCUUGUGUUGAUGUUUUUCGGUUUUCUCAGUGGUGUAGGCCUAUCAGUGAUAAUUCUGCAGUUAUCUGCAGUUAUCUGCAGUAUGUGUGUAAUUGACCUAUUAUACCAUGUAUUUCUUGAUAUUAUCUUGACAUUCACAAUAUGUAGGCCUUUUCUAAUUUACAGCUAAAUAAUGGCAAUCAAAAUCAAUGUAUGGCAUACAAUCUUUUAUUUGUAGUCUUUUAAGUAAAUAAAUUACUUUCCAAAAUUCAAA